AUUGAACGCUGGCGGCAUGCUUUACACAUGCAAGUCGAACGGUAACAGGCCGCAAGGUGCUGACGAGUGGCGAACGGGUGAGUAAUGCAUCGGAACGUGCCCAGUCGUGGGGGAUAACGCAGCUAAAGCUGUGCUAAUACCGCAUACGAUCUAUGGAUGAAAGCGGGGGACCGUAAGGCCUCGCGCGAUUGGAGCGGCCGAUGUCAGAUUAGGUAGUUGGUGGGGUAAAGGCUCACCAAGCCAACGAUCUGUAGCUGGUCUGAGAGGACGGCCAGCCACACUGGGACUGAGACACGGCCCAGAGUCCUACGGGAGGCAGCAGUGGGGAAUUUUGGACAAUGGGCGCAAGCCUGAUCCAGCAAUGCCGCGUGCAGGAAGAAGGCCUUCGGGUUGUAAACUGCUUUUGUACGGAACGAAAAGGUUUGGGUUAAUACCCUGGGCCGAUGACGGUACCGUAAGAAUAAGCACCGGCUAACUACGUGCCAGCCGCCGCAGUAACAC
rnacentral:rRNA from 1 species